CUGGUGCCUGCGGCUGCAGCGCCCCCAGGAAGGCAGUGAAAACGCAUUGGGAGGACCGUGUGUUUGGCUCCACAGCCCCAAGGAUUAGGGCCUUUUGUCCACCCUCUUCCGCAAAUUUGAUGAGGGCCUGCCAGCAGGACAGGAGAAAUUAUACCAACGAGGAGGAAAGAGUGUCUGCAGCGGUAGCAGUGACGAGGGACAAGGAUGCUCUAAGGACAACCUGCCGCAAGGAAUGGGGGUAUAACCUUACACCUGUUUGCCCAAGGCAGCCGGCCUGGCAUAUCUUCUCCCAUGCUUUGUUCCUGUAUCUGUCACACUGCUGUCUGUCACACUGUCAUCUACCAUGUGCAGCCGCCACACAACCAGACAUGCUCAUACGUAGCCUCUCUCUAUACAGGAUUUCAGUCUUGGAACAGUCCCCAAUUACAGAGCAGCGCUGUGGUUUCUGUUCUUUGCUUCAAAACACGGCCUGGAGUUAUUUCUGUCCCCUGUGUACCACCCCAUCUCCAGCCACACUGCUUCGUGCUACUUCUAAAAGCUGCAGCGUAAGAAGCCUAAAAAUAACAAAGUACAAUGGCUCAGCGACUCCUCCUCGCGCAACAAGUGGUGACCCUCUUUCCGCACUUGGGUUUUGCUGAUGCCGUGAUGUGUGCCUUAAAGACUUAGCUCAUUUACCACCCUCUCCCCGGGACACACAGACACACCUGCCCACGUCACUAUUCAGACAUCAACUGAGGUCCCACCUGAUUUUCAAAUCCUGGCUGCACCAGCAUGAAGUGAGUUCUCUUUCCCACUAACUUCCACAGAUGUUAUUGCACAUGAAAUCAUCUGUAAGUCACUGUAUGUUGCCUUGGACAUUUCUUAUACUGUUCUGUUAUUUAAAUACUUUAUUGGUAUUUUAACUUCCUUAUGACAUGUGUUGUUUAGUUCCAGGAUUAGAAAUUCUUUGAAAAGAGGCUGUUUUUUAUAUUACCAGUGCAGUACUUAGCAGGUGUCAGCGUCUCAAUGAAUACCUUUGUCCAUCUGAACUCAAAAACUGCUUCUAUUUGCUAAAUACCUACUAUGUGCAAGUGACUGUGUUAAUGCCAUUUUUAAAUCGCCAGUCCUUCUAACAGUCCUGCAAGGUCCUUAUUUAUGUCCACUUACAAAUGGGGAAACUUAGGUUCAUAUGACCAACAAGUAGAAGAACUCAGAUUCCUCUCCAGAGAGGCUUCCAGGUUUCCAGGUGUCCUGUACUCAUUUUGGCUUGGUGCCCCUCCACCCCCCACCCCCAUGCUUGUUGCAUAAACAAGCUAUCGUAACGCACAAACUGUUAAUAAUUAUCUACAUACCUGUCUUCCCAGCUCUGAAUUAAUAGAGCAUCGUGAUUCAGAAAGGAGAGGGUU
rnacentral:lncRNA from 9 species